rnacentral:lncRNA from 1 species
AGGGACCACAGUCACAUGAUUUGUGAGUACACUGGGCAGGAAAGAACAGUCCAUGAUAUUCACACGGAGUGAAAUAACUAUUACCCCUGCCACAUUGGCUCCCACUGAGGAAUGACUGCUUCCUUGAUUACAAAAAUGGACACUGAAGAAGAUUCAUAAGUUCCAGCUGCAAUGUCCUCAAAUAAGCCUGAUUCUCUCCUCUUCUCUUUUGAUGCUAAUUUUGAAGGUGACAUUGGGAGAUGAACAUCCUUUGAAACCCUGACAUUCUAGAAAUCCAGAGCUUCCUUGAGUUUCAACUAUUCUUGGAUGUAUGCAAAGUGGCCGGAAGCCAUUAGUGAUUUACUCAUUGGUCUUAACAAGCUAAUAUGCCCCCAAAGGUCCUCUUGUAACACAAGCAAAAGGAAGCCAAGGGUUGAACCAUUUAUUCUGUGAAUUUGAUUGAUGUCGACAGGCAAUCUGGACAGCUGAGGCCCAAAUGCACAUUUUUUUUCUCCUCUUUCAUGGCAGGAUUGAUUUUGGCCUGAAUCAUCUAAAUAAUUGCCUUCC